GCCGCCCCGCCCAUGGACCGCCGGCCCCCGCUGCCGCCCGCCCGGAGGACCGCGCCGAGGGGGGGAGCCGCCUGAAGGACCGCGACGGCCGCGCCCGCAGGUGCACCAGGAGCGCCCGAGGGCCUGGCCCUGCUUUGUCUGGGAUGCUGUGGGGAGGAGGCCGUCUGAAUCCACAUCGCCUAUUUAAAUGCGUUUUACCACCCCGUGGACGUUAGAGACCCUCCCAGAUAAGUAGCAUUGUCUCCUGUCCUGAUAACCCCUUUACGAAAAGCAUCAUCAGAGCUCGGCAUGCGCGUUUCCUGAAUUUCUGAGUUUCUGCCACCACUGGAAAUUGAGAAAGCGCAGAGCCAGCCCAGUUCACGCUGGCAGAGCCACCUCUUGGGUUUGGUGCUGUGCCCAUGUCAGCGCCAGGAACCCACACAGUCGGCCCCUAACAGGAAUAACUGUCCAGGUGUAAAUAAGCUGCACCCAGUGAGAUCCCGUGUGUCACAGGCUCUGCAGAAUGUCCUGAACAAGCGCACACUUUCCCUCCCACUGAAAUUAAACUGCAUUUCAAUUUUACAUGGCUUGAUAGUUUUCUGGCCUUUUUAUUUGCAAGCUUCCCACAGGCAUGCAUGAACCAGCUCUCCUUCCUCCUCUGCCUUAUUCCCAUGCCCGUCAGAGAAGUGCUUCCAAGUCCUCUCAUGUCACUAAUACAAAAUACACUCCCUAAUGGCGGGGCAGGGGUCAGACCAGAGACUGGGUGAGAUUACCACUAAUUCUCAACUAGAGAGAAUGCUUUCUUAAAGGGCCACCUCAGAUUACUAGAGGGAGGCCUUCCCUGGGUACUGGUAUUGUAGCAGGGGACAGACGGAAAGCCUUGUUCUUCUCACGGAGCUUACACUCUAGUCCUGUAAGAAAGAGCGACAAACGACCUCAUUUUAGGUAGUGAUAAAUGCUAUAAAGACGCAAGAUGGGACGGGAUGAUGAUAAUGACAGUUAGAAUGAAGUCCAGUUGAAGUGUUCUUGCAGUGCAGAGAGCAGCCACGGCGGGCUCCACGGUGGUGUAGCUGCGAGCCAGGGAGCGCUUGGGGACGGCUGUCCGUGUCGGAGCACCGACAGCAGCCAGUACGUAGUUCUAGGCACAGCGGUAAAUGCUUUAAAUCUGCGCCGCCCAGUGUGGUCGCCCCUAGCCACGUGGGACAACUUAAAUUUGAAUUAAUUCGAAUCAAAAUAAAUAAAAUGAAAAAUUCCUUUUCUCACACACACCAGCUACAUAUCAAGGGCUCAGUGUGUCAUGAGCCCGUGUGGCUCAUGUGUCCAUGAGCUU